UACAGAGGGGGCAAGCGUUGUUCGGAAUUGCUGGGCGUAAAGGGUGUGUAGGCGGCCGCCUAAGUCAGACGUGAAAUCCCUCGGCUUAACCGGGGAACUGCGUCUGAUACUGGGUGGCUUGAAUCCGGGAGAGGGAUGCGGAAUUCCAGGUGUAGCGGUGAAAUGCGUAGAUAUCUGGAGGAACACCGGUCGCGAAGGCGGCAUCCUGGACCGGCAUUGACGCUGAGGCCCGAAAGCCAGGGGAGCAAACGGG
rnacentral:rRNA from 1 species